rnacentral:lncRNA from 1 species
UGUACUGAAAUACUUAUAUACAAAAAGUAUUGGGUGGUGGUUGACCUUAUAAGGUUAUAUUGUAGAAGACAGUAAAUAAUAAUUACUUACAAACUUUGGAAAUAUUACGUAAGAAAUGCAACGUGUAAUGUAGGAUACUCAUUAGUAAGGGACAUGCUAGAGAACGUAGGUGAAUUAACACCAAAUACGGUGAACGAACAAAUGGAAAUGAUAUAUUAAGAAAUGGUCAUGAAUUGACCGAAGCUCGAGAAAAACACGAGAAUCAUCUCACUUAUGUCCAGUCAAGCUAGCAAAAAGGGGUCUAACGAUUCUUAAAGGAUUGGAUCAAUAUAGGCAAGAAGGAUAAGAAUGAAAAAAUCUGUAUGUGAAGACGGAUUAAACAAGUGAGAAUAAAACUAAGUACCAAGCUCAAAUAAGUUAUACGGGUCAAAUGGCGAUCGCCAUUUGAACCCGGUAUUUAAUGUUCGGUUUGUCAAGUUUAUUACUUAUAGGUGAG